AUGUAAACGGAACGCUGGC
rnacentral:piRNA from 1 species